UACACUUUAGUAUAUGGUGUAUUUAAACUUUUGAUGUUUAAGGAGGUAGUUGAAAUCUCCCAAGUGUAA
rnacentral:tRNA from 1 species